UGAAUCACUCCAGCCGAUGCCAAGGCAAUGGCAGAUAAGAAAAGAAUCAUCCACUUCAUCGUUUAGCUUAAAACCAACGAAUGAUCCCAAACGGAAAAUGCCAGCCAUUUAUAUGCCUCGUCCGCCGUGUUCCAUACUGAGACAAUCAAACUGUCAUGUUCAUUAAAAUAUGUUUAAAAAAAAGCAAACAAAAAAAACAGAGCAUUCCAAAAUGCAGGAACUUCAAGGACACGAACUGCAUAUCAUUGACGAAAGGAAUAUCCUGGUAAACGGUCCUAGUCUGACGGAAAUGGGUGUUGUCACGACGGGUAGCGAUGCAGCGGUAGACUCCUUCAUCACGGGCAGAAUAUUCUCCGAUAACGAGCCGCGACCCAGCCAUCGAU